rnacentral:tRNA from 1 species
GUUGGGGUAGCUUAUAUUUAGAGCGUGGCACUGAAGUUGCUGAAGAGAAAGGUUAUUUCCCCUCACG